AUACAGAGGGUGCAAGCGUUAAUCGGAAUUACUGGGCGUAAAGCGCGCGUAGGCGGUUUGUUAAGUUGGAUGUGAAAGCCCCGGGCUUAACCUGGGAGGGUCAUUCAAAACUGGCAGACUAGAGUGUGGUAGAGGGUAGUGGAAUUCCUAGUGUAGCGGUGAAAUGCGUAGAGAUUAGGAGGAACACCAGUGGCGAAGGCGACUGCCUGGACCAACACUGACGCUGAGGUGCGAAAGCGUGGGUGGCGAACAGGAUUAGAAACCCCGGUAGUCC
rnacentral:rRNA from 1 species